rnacentral:rRNA from 1 species
CCCUUUGAUACUCUGGGCGGCACGCGCGCUACACUGGUUUAUAUAACGUGUAAUUUGGACGAUAGUCUGUAUAAAUCACUAAUAUAAAACCGUGAAUGGGAUAGUUUAUUGCAACUUACAAACUUUAACUAGGAAUCCCUUGUAGAAGUAGUGAAUUAUACUGCUUCGAAUACGUCCCUGCCGAUUGUACACACCGCCCGUCGUUUCUUCCGACUGGUACUCAUUGUGAAUUGCGAGGAGAUUCUGUCAAAUCGUUGUAAACGCUGGGUAUUGGAGGAAGAAAAAGUCGUAACA